rnacentral:rRNA from 1 species
CGGCACCUCAAGUGGUCAGGAUGAUUAUUGGGCCUAAAGCAUCCGUAGCCGGCGCUGUAAGUUUUCGGUUAAAUCUGUACGCUCAACGUACAGGCUGCCGGGAAUACUGCAGCGCUAGGGAGUGGGAGAGGUAGACGGUACUCGGUAGGAAGGGGUAAAAUCCUUUGAUCUAUUGAUGACCACCUGUGGCGAAGGCGGUCUACCAGAACACGUCCGACGGUGUGGGAUGAAAGCUGGGGGAGCAAACCGGAUUAGAUACCCGAGUAGUCC